rnacentral:snoRNA from 1 species
UCUCAUGAUGAUUUAUUCUACAAUCACGACGGUCAACCUAGCUUCUCGGAAGCAUUGAUGACCACCGCCCUUGACCGGGCUUAGAUCUGAUC